UGCAAUCAGCUGAAAGUGAAGCGCAGUAACCUACUUGACUUGACUAACGGAGCUAUAGAAUUUAUUUUUGCACCUAAGGCAAGAUCUGCUGGUCGAAACGUUUAAGGCUCGCGAGAAAUACCGCACGCUUUAAAUCAAAAGUGGAGUCAACCCAGGAAACAUCGGGGAAACAUCAGAACUCCAAAUAUCUGCGGUAAAGCCAAUAGCAGUGACAUAUGUUAAAAAGACCACGUAAGUGGUCGCGCACCUUGUAAAGCCUCGGUACAGCCGUGUCUGAAAUAUAGUGUCGAGAUGAUAUGACGUACUGUUGCUCCAAAAGACGACGAAAACGUGUAUUUCUACCACAGAGACAGGCUGUUCAUCCAAUGCGAUGAAUUCAAUGACCUUCUAUGUUACCUUUUUGGCCAGGUCUCCGGAGAAAUUUCCUCUUUUCUUUUUAGUUUCCUCUAGUGUUUUUCUUCGGUGCAGCCUUUGCCUGCCAAACCCGAGUAAACUCGCUGUAUUCCGCCGAGUGUUUAUUUUUUAGGUGGCGUGUCAAAUUGGUAAUAUUGAACCUAGCUGUUACUACUGCCUCGUGAAAUGCUUGCAUUGCAGACAUUACACGUUGGACUUGUUUCAUUCUCCAGUUUAGGCGCGUUCUGUUCUCCGUUUACAACACCCCUAUGAUAGCAAAGGAUCGCAAACAAAGGAUCGAGCUUAGGUUCGAGCUCAAUAAAGCCGAUAAUGAGCAGUUAAAAAUGCCUUGAUCGGCCCCGAUACCGAUCUUUGAAAUCAGAUCGGUAAAUUCAUAGUUUUUGUUAUGCAUCAGCUACACUGUCCAGCUACGUUAGCUAACCUAGCUAAUCAGCUAGUUAAAAGCAGUCAUAGCUCUUGCCAACUUACUGAACUGUGGAAUUAAGUAGAAAAUACAGCAGUGGUUUAUUAACUAGCUAGCUAGCUAACACAAGCUCUGCUUGACAGUUUCAUUGUCGCUUUAUUGCAUAAGAAAUCUUCGUUCACAAAAUUAUGUGAUGCGCUUUGCGUAUUGGAUAGAAAACAUUGCGGUGUGUAACUUAAAUCUGUUUUAAUGUAGUGUAAGAGAGAUCCGUUUUCAUAGGUAUACAGUGUAUGCUGCAUGUGUAACUGCUGUUUAUUUUUCCCCCAAACGCAUUUAUAAUUGUGUUUAUUUACUUUUCUAGACGUUGUUCCCGCGUUUUAGUCAGAAUGGCCAGCGCCGUCCCUCAGACAUGGUGAAUUCUCUGAGUUUCCUCCCAAACCUUUUCACUACGUCCACAGCAUCCAUACAUCCACAGCAGGGAUGUCAGUAGUGACCGAAGUCCAUGGGGGGUUGGUAACCAAGGAAACACUCAAAUGGCGUAAUGCCCGUGGAGGAACUCGGGAGAGAGUUCUGGGCCAUCUCUGCCCAAGGAAGGAACUUGGACCAGUCAGUGGGGUUGUUCAUACAAAAACAAUGCAGAAACUUACUUUAGUUCUUGGUUAGCACGUUCGCAUUGUCCGUUGGACUGAGGGUGAUGACCUGAGGGCAGACUGACUGCCACCCCUAUAUUUUCAAAAAAAGACUGUCCAAACACAGGAUGUGAACUGAGAACCAUGGUCUGACAGAAUGUCCUCAGGUAUACCAAAUAUGUGGAAAACUUGGUUGAAUAAGACCUCACCGGUUUGGAAGGCGGUGGGUAGACCAGGAAAGGCUAUGAACCUUACACCACAAGAGAACCUGUUUAGUACUGUCAGGAUAGUGGUAUCGCCGUCAGAGCAAGGUAGGUCAGUGACGAAGUCCACCGCUAUGUGGGACCAGGGUCUUUCGGGUAUGGAGAGAGGCAUGAGUUUACCAGUAGGCAGUAUCCUAGGGGGUGAGUAAGGGAUGAGUGAGCCCAAGUUAACAGCCAAUCGGCAUGAUGCCGGUACAGACCUCCUUUUGCAGGACAUUCAGUAGGGAUGAUGAUGCUUCUUGUAGCUUGUUCGAUCUGGUUGUCUAUCUCCCAUUGGAUCGAAGCCAGAUGUACCCAUAAAGGAAGAAUGGUCUCUGGAUCAGUAGGCUCCUCCUCUGUCUCCCCUAGGUGGAUACGGGACAGGGCAUCUACUUUCGUGUUAUGGGACCCUGGAGGGUAUGUAAUCUUGAAGCAAAAUCUCGAAAAGAAUAAUGACCAGCGGGCUUGACGCGGAGUCAUCCGUUUCACCGUGCACAUGUACUCUAGAUUUUUGUGGUCGGUGAUCACUAGGAAUGGAUGAUUAGCUCCCUCCAACCAGUGUCUCCAGUCCUCCAAUGCCAGCUUCAUAGCCAGUAGCUUUUGUUCCCCUAUCCCAUAGUUGCAUUCCACCAGGGUCAAUUUGUGGGGAAAAAUAUGCUACGAGGUGCAUUUUUGAUGCCUCAUACCAUUGUGACAAUACCGUCCCAACACCUAUAUUCGAGGCAUCUACUUCAACCACGAACAGGAUGCUUCAGUAAAGGGACGGUGGUAAAAGCCUCCUUUAACUGUUUGAACAUAUGUUCAAGUUUCUUGGCUCCAGUGUAGCUUAGUUGAGGCUCCCUUAAGGAGGGAUGUGAGAGGAGCUGCUAUAAUCACUGAAAUAUCGAAUAAAACAUCUAUAAAAGUUCGCAAAGCCGAGAAAGCUCUGAAGUUUCCUGAUAGUGGUGGGAACGGGCCAGUUGAGGUCGUCCAUGGCGAACCAGCCAUGGCUGAAGAUGUAACCCAAGAAUGUCGUAGUAGAGAGAUGAAAUUCACACUUCUCUCCAUUAACAUAUAAACCAUUCUCUAGGAAUUUCCAUAAAACAGAACAUACAUGUUGUACGUGGGUCUUCAGAUUAGGUGAAUAGAUGAUGUUGUCGAUGUAUGCUAUAACAUAUUGUCCUAUGUAAUCCCGAAGUACAUCGUUGAUAAAAGCUUAAAAACAGAAGGUGCUAUGCUGAGGCCAUAAGGCAUGACCAUUCGGUGGUCAUCUGCAUGCCAAAAGAAUUAUCUCUUUCUGUGACCACAAGAUACUAGGGUUACGUUGUUCUAACCAUGGGAGGCCAAGCAUUAUGGGAAAGGAUGAGGCUUCUAUAACCAAAAAGGAUAUGAUCUCAGUGUGAAGUGCACUGGUGGAGAGUUUGAUGGGUGUGGUGCAGAGAGCGAUAGAACCUGCCCCUAAUGGGGACCCAUCUAAAGUGGCCAGGUGAAGGGUUUUAGGUAGAGGCUCGACCGGAAUGUCCAAGUUCCAAACUAGACUGUUAUGAAUUAAAUUGCCCUCUGCUCCUGAAUCUAUUAAGGCUGUAAACAAAGAUGAUGGGGAGUGUGAACCAACAAAAACAGGUAAAUUGAAGGAUUUAGCAACCAUCCCUUUAAUGGAAAGGACUACUACGUGGGCUAGUGGCUUGGUCUCCAGAUCUCUCCUCUGUGCUGGGGAAGCGAACCGGUUAGAGUCUGAUAGUGCACUCUCUCAGUACAUGUAAAUGGAAGUGGCAUCUUCUCUCUUCUACCGUCAAACAAGUGAAGUCAAACUGCAUGGGCUCGGCAGGAUUUUCUCUUCUGGGCUCGACUGAUUAAUUCCUCGAGUGGGGAGACUGACGUGAAAAUGACUUGUUCUGCAUGGUCUCAGUUAUUGAAUAAAAUGAUCCAACUGAAUGGCUAGUGCGAUGCGUUGGUCAAGAUUCAGCUCGUCAUCAUGGCAAGCCAGUUUGUGAAGUACUUCCAUGUUAAGACCGUUACGAAACGCGAAAGCAGAGCUGUUUCAUUCUGUCUGCUACCAGCAGCUAUAGUGCAAAACUCGCAAGCAUAGUCUGAAACCGCACGAUUGCCCUGGCAGAGUUUGCCGAGCCUUGUGUGCAUUCUCUCCUCUCAUGUGGAUGAUCAAAAACAGCUUUAAACUGGGCGAGAGAGUCAUUAUACAACAACGUCUGAGCAGUCCAGAUAGCUGUGACCCAAUCCAGUGCUUUCUCCGUUAGCCGUGCGGUAAGGAAAGAUAUCUUGGCUUAGUCAGAACAGGGUGGAAUGCUAUUAAAAUAAAGGGUGCACUGUAACAAGAAACCCCUACAUUUGUCCGGAGAGCCGUCAAAUUUAUCAGGUUUACUCACUGGAAAAACAGGAUGAGCAAUGUUGCAGUAGCGGUAGCAGCAGCAGGAAGUGAGUUGUGCUGGAGAGACAAUCAUGGCCUGUAGUUGAGUAGUAAGGUCUCUUAGACACUGUCCGAGUUCAGCCAUUUGGGCCUGUUGGUCUAUUUGUUGUUUGGCAAGAACAUCCAGGGACCAUGUGACUCCUUCGAAGACAUGCUGGUGUUGACUGACAAGCUGUCCUUGGCUGAUAACAGCCUCCAUCAGAGCCUCCGAAUCCGCCGUCCGCAUAAUGGCAAAGUCAGAUGCUUGCAGAUAAAAGGCCGGAAUUUUAUCGUAAUCCGUAUCCAUGGUGGUUAAACUAGCCAGGGUCAGAACCAGAGAGAUGCAGUCAAGGGUAAUCACAAUCAUAGAGGAAAACAGUCCAAGUCCAAAAACAGGCAGACAAAGCCAUCAAGGGGUAGGCAGUAAUAGGAGUCCAGAGUAACUGGAAAACCAGGUCAAAAACAGGAGAUCAAAAACAUGAAUAGAACGCUCGGUAUGCACAGAUGAACUGGAGGCAAUACUUCACAAUGACAAACAGUCUUAGAAUGGCUUAUAUAUAUGAAAAAACAGGUGAACUCAACAUGCAGGUGAUGAGGAUCUGGUGAACUGUUGAAGACUGGAUGAGUCAUUCUCCUGGAGAAUAACUGCAUGAUGGUGGUUGGAAACCAGACCAAAUGGACAGGUGUGUCCAGUAUGUAAAGUGGGUAUCUGCGGAGACAAAGUCAUCCCACAUCCCACUGGCUGAGGUAGCACUGGUCAGCAGGACCCCAGGUCAAUUUAAUGCUUUAAAUUCCUAUUCAGAAAUGUGCUCUGUGACACUGUGUGCAUUGUCAAUUAAUCUCACAUGCUGCCAGGUCAAAGGCCAAUAAUAAUUCCUAUUGCAAAAAGCAAACAAAGUAAAUAAAAAGUUAGUAGUUGGUAAAAGCAUGCAUUAACUUUCUUGCUUCUGGAAUUUCAUUUUGUAUUUGUCUUUGUAUUUCUAUUUUGUAUUUAUUAUUGUUUAUUUAAUUACAUUUUUGCACUAUA